GGUCUUUAUAUCCCAUAGGACACAAUCUGUGUUGCUUCCAAAAAGUGAAAUUAGCUAAAGUACUGGGCACUAUGUUUAGUAUUUUGGUGUUAGAAGUCUGUUCCUGGGAGCAUCCUUUAACCCUUACAUGUCCAAGCUAGUGCCACCACGACCAAAGUCUCAGGGGCAAUUGUCCUAAUGUCUCAUCUUCCCCUUCACUCAUAUUCUGCUAGAACAGGGGGCUAAAAUGAGAAGUAAAUGCUAUUACUCCUUGGGGAGAGUAGCAGGAGAGAUAUCUACAGCCACCCUUUCCUUGGAGUAUUUCUUUCUUGACAAUGCCACAGAACAAGAAGCUUAUAUCUGUGGAGCAGCAGGAACAGGAACAUGGGACUGUUCGCAACUUUAUUUAUUUCAUGCCAAAAGCAUUGCAUAAAAUAAGUUUAAAACUGAACAAAUGAAGGAAUCACAAGCAGCUAAAUAGUUUUAGACCAAAACAAACAGCGACUGCACAGUCUGUAGCUUUAAACAGUUCUUCCUCUCUGCAUGAGGCAGGGCAUUGUGGACAAGCAGACAGAUGCUGAGUUUGUUCUGCUCCACAGUUGCAACGGAGGAUGCUGGUUUAGGGAUUUGUACAAUACCUUGUAUCUAUAAGGAUUUGUAGAAAAAGGAAUUGCCACAGGUGUUGUGCCUCAUGCAACCAGGAAUGGUGCUGAUGACAAGUACAAAUCUCAAUGUAAAAACUUAAGUAGAAAUAUAAGAAGAUUCCUACUGGAAUAGACCACAGGCUUGACUAACCAAGACUCUUCAUUCCUCUGUGAUAAUUGAAAGGAACAUGGGAAGCUCACAAGAAGGACAUGUAUGAAGUGGCACACAUGUGCAUCCUGGCGACUUAAAUUGAAAGAUACAUUCAAAGGAUCUUCUAAACUUUUGAGAUCCUGAACAAAUGGAAGAAUGUCCCCAACUGAGAAACUUUAGGAAUGCCAUAGAAAGAAGGUGGUGUGAGUGCAACCGAGUGCCAAGUGCUUAAGUCCUGGUUUUGCUUCUGUAGCAGAAAUGGGUCUGUGGCACAGAAGUCAGGAACCCAGAAGUUCUCUGUGUCACAGCAGGGGAACCUG